CAUGACUGUGUCUGUGUCUUCAGUAGAGUUGAGAGGUUUGAGAGCAGUCAUGAGGAUUAACAGCAGAUACCAGGAGGCUGCUCGCUGGUCCUGUCAACACGGCCAUGUAGUCAGGAUGCCAGCUCCCCCACCAAGUCAACUUUGGGGAGCUUGGCAGAGCCGUGACUCCAGGAGGCAUCCCUGGACUCUCGAAGCCCCCUGCUGUGUGUGUGUCAGGGGGCUCUGAGCCCAGUGAGUGGCUGUCCCUGGGGCAGGCAGGGGGCACUUGAGGUGCCACAGAGGACACGGACCGUAGGAACCACGAGAGGGGCGGAUGGCCCAGAGCCAGGGUGUGGAUGACUGCCCUGGGCAGCUGGGGUCGGGAGGCAGCCUUUUCACUUCAAUGAGAAUGGUGUGCAGCUGGGAUGGGACAGCCUCUCAGAAGGAGAGAAGGGACGUAACAGAAAGCAGCAGCAGGCAAACCCCGGCCGAACAGUCCCUGUGACACUCCUUGAGGGCCUGGAGCCAGCUGGAGCCAACAGGUGCCACAUCCAGGGCCAGCUUCCAGGACUCAGGAAGGAGCGACGUGCAGCCGGCUGCGGUGGCUAGGUGGGGCCAGGGAUGCUGCUGAACGUCCCACCACACCCAGGAGCCAUCUGCCCAGGCACAGCUCUUCUGUGAAGUACCUGCUGGGUGCCAGGUCUGGGCGGGGACCCACAGAGUCUCCACAGGUGGGGGACUUACCCUCCUCAUGGCCCUGGGCCUCCUUUGCAGCCCCGCUGCCCCGAGCUCCC
rnacentral:lncRNA from 1 species